CGAGCUUCUUCCCAAGGGGUGCUUAUAUUAUGUUCAUAAGCGUUGGUAGCAAGGGCAGUGUCGGGGCCCCCUUUGGAAGUGCUGGUUUUGUGUUCAGCAGGCCGUUUGCAAAUGUUACGUUUGGUGCUGCCUAUGUGUAUCUCAUCGGAGCGCCUAUCAUGAUUGUGCAUAGGGAUGGUAUAGAUGCCCGGUCUUCUACUAGGGGGUGUGUGAUCUUUAUCAUUUCGAAUUGGUUGAAAAGCAGUGGGGCCCCGUUUGUUGAGUAUCCUAGAGUUGGUGUGCCUUGGGGCUUUGGUGGGGGUGCGGUGCACACAUGUGUCGUGCUGUAGCGUAGCAAAUAUACGCCGGUUGAUCAAAUUAGGGGCGGGGUUCGGAGUUCGAACAUGGGAGAAGCAGUUAAGGGC
rnacentral:lncRNA from 1 species